rnacentral:lncRNA from 1 species
AGUAUCACAGGCAGAGCAAUGGAGGAUGGAUUUGGAGCUGCAAGGCAAUAAACUGGUAACUGAACAAACAUGCAACCUCAAAGAGAAAAGUUUGAGGAAAUCACUUCAAGGACAAAAAAUUGCAAUGUAAAGAGAAUUAUUUAUCUCCAAAUUCCAGAUUACCCCCCUGCCCAACCCCUGCCAGCAGCACCGUCCACAUGGUUUCUCAUUUAGUUUUGUGUUAGUUUAACAAAGUAGACUCUGCAAUCUGGAUAAAAUAGUAAGUCACCUCAGAUGGAUCUGAGAACGCUGUCUGGGCUUGGUACCAAGAGCUGGUAUUUCACAGCAGCGACCGCCUCACAGACGAGCUGUGGGAAGCAGGAGGGAGACUCUCUCUUAGGGUGCCACUACUAUGGAGACACAGCUGGGCUGAACAAGAUUUGCUUCAAACGACAACAAGAGAGACAGAAAGUAUCUGGUUCAACCGCUGCCCGAGCAGGCAGGCACCAGAAGAGCUAGCAGCCAAUCCGGCCAUGCUCGAAGCCAGCUCUGCAGCUCAGCCAAUCAGUGACAUCAUUGGUGAGAAACUCAUUUACAUCAUGCAGUAAUGAACUUUGUUUAACAUAGACUUCCCCCUUUCCUGUCACCCCCCCCCCUUUCCAUAUUAGGUCCUUCCAUUAAUUAUUCUGCUGGCAUAAUUUAAACCGCUAUGCAAAAAUGUGGCUACAUUCUCUCUGAUGGCUUUUACCUCCCCCCCCCCCCCCCCCAUUGGUGUCUGCCGUCACUGAAAGUGAUUCUGGGUACAAUUCUAUUUUGUUUUGAACUUGCAAAAAUUAUCUUCUCUUUCUUAAAAAAAAUUCUUAACAACAUUAAACCUCUGUUUAUAUUGUC